rnacentral:miRNA from 10 species
AUAAAGCUAAGUUACCGGAGGCA